AGGGUGACAGGUGGUGCAUGGUUGUCGUCAGCUCGUGUCGUGAGAUGUUGGGUUAAGUCCCGCAACGAGCGCAACCCUCGCCUCUAGUUGCCAGCAUUCGGUUGGGCACUCUAGAGGGACUGCCGGCGACAAGUCGGAGGAAGUGGGGAUGACGUCAAAUCAUCAUGCCCCUUAUGACCUGGGCUACACACGUGCUACAAUGGGCGGUACAAAGGGCUGCGAACCCGCGAGGGGGAGCGAAUCCCAAAAAGCCGCUCUCAGUUCGGAUUGCAGGCUGCAACUCGCCUGCAUGAAGCCGGAAUCGCUAGUAAUCGCGGAUCAGCAUGCCGCGGUGAAUACGUUCCCGGGCCUU
rnacentral:rRNA from 1 species